UUUGCUGUUUGGUAACUAUAUUCGUAAAGUGCUGUGGUACUUUGUUUUGUGUUUGGUAAACAAACUAAGAAAGUACUUUUGUAUGACAAAAUUACCAUAAAGGACAUUUCAUAGUAUUAUACAACAGAACAUAAUAAAAUAUAACAUAUAUUAGUACAUAAAUAUACGAUAUAGUAUAAUAUUAUUGUGAUAUAAAAUAAUAUUAUUAUAAUAUAGCAUAAUAGUAAUAUAAUUAUUAGAGUAAAUUAAUAUUUGGUAAUAUAACAUAAUAUUAAAUUAUUUAACAUAACAUAUUAAUGUAUUAUGAUAUAAUGUAAUAUAUAUUAUAUUUAUAGUAUAAUACAAUAAUAAAGGUAUAAAAUAUUAUAAUUAUUAGUAUAAAUUAAUUUUUCAUAAUCUAACAUAAUAUUAAAUUAUUUAAAAUAACAUAUUAAUAUAUUAUAAUGUAAUGUAAUAUACUAUAAUANNNNNNNNNNNNNNNNNNNNNNNNNNNNNNNNNNNNNNNNNNNNNNNNNNNNNNNNNNNNNNNNNNNNNNNNNNNNNNNNNNNNNNNNNNNNNNNNNNNNNNNNNNNNNNNNNNNNNNNNNNNNNNNNNNNNNNNNNNNNNNNNNNNNNNNNNNNNNNNNNNNNNNNNNNNNNNNNNNNNNNNNNNNNNNNNNNNNNNNNNNNNNNNNNNNNNNNNNNNNNNNNNNNNNNNNNNNNNNNNNNNNNNNNNNNCCUCUCUCCCCUUCUCCGCUCUUCUCCUCCCGCGCGGUCGGCAGCGCCGGAAGGGGGCCAGGCCGUGGCGGCUGCGGGAGGGGGCCGGCGGCGCCUGCGGCAGUCUCGGCGGCCGCGGUUGGCCCCCUGGGAAGGAUUCUCCUCCCGUGUGGCCGACGGCGCCGGAGGGGGUGCGGCACUACAGCGGCGGGGGAGAGUGAGGCACUGCAGCGGCGGGGGAGAGGGAGGGGGUGCGGCACUGCAAGGGGGGGUGGGGGCGUGGGUGGGAGAGGAACAGGCGGUGAGAUGAGGUUUUGGGGAGAAAAUUUAUUUUUAAAAUGGGGGUAUUUUGGUCAAAAAUAGAGCUUCCCGACAAAGCUGAAAACAGCAUUUUCGGAAAGUUUCAAAUUGGAGCUUCUCCCCAAAAGCUGUUUUCAGCUUCCCGCAAAAGCUGAAACAGCUUUCCGAAAAUUUUACCAAACACCAUUUUUUAUCUAAAAGUACUUUUGGAGGGCCAGAAAGUGCUUUUUGGCCCUCUAAAAGCUCUCCCAAACAGGACCUAAAUAUUAGGUCAAACUACAAACAAAGAACCUAAACAAGCAGUCUCAUUUCCAAACAGUAACAAGGAAGAUGAAGUCCAUUAAGAUAUGAUUCAUAUCAUACCGUUACCUGCAAAACAAAAAUGAUAUCAAGUUAAUGAUAAUAUUAUAAGAAAGCACUCUUAAUAUCAACGGUAUAUGAAUAUAAUACUAUGACAAACGAUAAAGUCAUUUGUGUUUACCCAGUUGAAGGUUAUGCUCAACCAAAUGCAGUGAAGCAUUAGGAGCAUUGGAGACAUCUGGUACCUAUCAAUAGAAUUCAACAAGUUACAUCAUAUGAGUAUACUGUGACAAUGUUCAUCUUAACAUAAAAUAUUUCUAUAAUUGUUUGUUAAAUCCCUAGGAAAUCAUAAGUUAAUUUAUACUAAACAAAUGCAAAAUAUUGUAAAUUUGGUACCUACUAAUCAAAUUUAUAAGAAGGAAGAAAUGACUCCAAGGAAGGUAGAUUACCUCUUUGUGGCGACCACCGACUUCUAUUGUGUAUAAAAUAUCAACAUUAUUUAGCUCUAGGGCGAUCCACUAAAAGACUGUCUAUAAUGAUGACAAUUGGGUUUGCAGUCCUAAUAUGCAAUUUUUUUGAGCUUCUCAUGUAUCACUUUAUCAUGUUGUGUAUUACAAAAAUAGUAAGAAAAUUUUAAAUUUAGUAAUUAAUAUUUGUUGACAUAAUAAUUGUUUUAUACCAUUUCAUUACAAGCCAGUGCAAAUGCCUUCAAUCCAUUCAGUUGGACUCUUUCUGUGGAAUAAACUUCUAGAGGCCAUGUUAGGGCCUCCUAAAUCAUGCAUCACCAUCCUACAUUACUCGUAAAUUUAUUCACUACUUCAUCAGAGCAUGAUACCAAAGGUGCAAUAUACACAAAAUAGAGGAGGUGUAAUUGCCAAUUAAAAUUAUAUUUGAUAGACACAAAUGUCGGAGCACAUGUCAUCAGAGCACCUGUAAAGACAACAGAUAACCAGAUCAAAAACAGAACUAGCUGUAGUAUCCAAACCAAUAAUGAAAAUAAAAAAUUCAGCAGAAUUUCAAUCAAGAAUUCAUAUUAGCUCAGGAGAAAAUUUUCAAUCAAGAAUCCAAUGGACUAUAUUAGUAUCAUCUGCUUUGCACUGCUUAAAUAGGGGAGGUAGAUGCAGCUGUAGAAUGAACCGCGUUGUAAGACCCUGAUCCAUCUAGCCCUAACUCAGAAUCUCUCCUAGAAAUUAGUGCAAGCCUUAAAACCAUCUUUUUUGCAUAAAUAAGAAAUAAGGAAGCUUCCCAAAAUUGUGAUGAAGGUACACAAGUUGGCAUAAAGGGUACACUAUGUUUCAAAAACGUUAACAUGUGUAAUGCUUUUGAAGGGUAAGACAAUUGGUUACAUUCUAUAUUGAAGCAAAUGAAACCAAGAGAAAUGAAAAGCUCUUAAUGCUCAUUGGCCUAGUCAAUACUAUGUUUAGCAUUUGGCACUGCAGCCUCAUGCAUCACUGAGAUCUUGAUAUAUACAUUUUGCAUAGCUAUUCUCCACAUUAAAAGUAAAACACCAUAGGGGAUCCUUUUAAAUUGGUUUCUUUCAGCAAAGUAUUGACCCAGGGCUUGAUAUUGUUAAUGACUCCAAGACUAAAUUAAUCAACUUACCUCUCAUGUUGUUCCUCCUACAGGGUAUUAUGCAAGUCUCCACUAAUGAUCCUAGUGCAGCCAUUUACUCUUUGUUGUGAAUGUGAAUAUGUUUUAUCAGAUACCAAUACUCUUGUCUUUUUUGUUUUUCACUCGUGAAGUAUAUUCUCAUAUUUUCUACCUAGAAUUCCCAACAAGAAUUAAGCAUGUUAAUUUGGAGUAGUGUGGAUGGUUUUAUGUUUGAAACUGGAAAAAUGUCGGAGGUUUCACAUGGCAAUAAUUAAUUUCAUUUAAAUAUGUUCAGUAGCUCUUUUAUUCCCAUUUGAGAUGCUCGGGAUCCUAGAUCCAUCUCUUGAGCAUAAGCACAAGAAUUGUCAGUUGAUCAGAGAAUUUCCAUUCUCAUAAAAUACUAUUUCAUUUAACAGAAAAAUAUAAAUACCACCAUUGUUUUGAUCUAGUGCAGCAUAAUGAAGCAAAACAGAUCCCAAAAGUACCCACUUGUGGCACAUGUGAAUUGAAGAUUGUGAUUGCGACGAUUGCAUUUGUAAUUUUCAGUAUGUUCUUGGAGAUUGCAUCUUGUCCAGGUGCAGGUGUGGAGAACCAAAGAUCUUUAUGGGAAGGCCUGAAGCAUCCAUACAAAAUGCUAGUUAUCAUAAAAUAAUAAAAAGGCUCAUGUCAUUCUUUUUAACGAUAUACAUAGUACUGCAAUUCGUAAAUGAUAAAUGAUAUGAUGUUAGCUAAUACAAGUGAGAACAAAUUAUGGUUGAUUAGAUAGCAUAAGAUAGAUAUAAAAGAUGACCUGAGUCGAAAGCAUCAAGAAUGGGUACACGAACAUGAGCUGGAUCCAAACUGGACAUGGCAUGUAAGAAGAAGAUUCUGGCUAUGACAAUCCAGACCAAGUUUAAUGCCUACAAUUUGCUGUCAAAUUUCUCAAAUACUUCUUUUUUUGUAUAAUUUAAAAAAUUGUCAUAUUGUACACAUAGUUGGCUGUGCUCAGCAUUCAUUUAGAUGUCUUCAAGCUUGAUCUACAGGUAGUAUUUAACUGUACAUGUAACUGUUUAAAUAUGGUACUUGUCCUCGAUCCCUAAUACCCAACCAAAAGAUGCCGUUCAAGUUUUUUUGUUCGAGGUAGUCAUGAACAGCUCUAUUGACCAGGUUAUCCAGUUCUUUAUUACCAGAUGAUAUGCAGGCUUAUUAGAUUGGCAAUGAUAAAAAAGGGAAAAGCAGCUUCAUUUUAUGCUGCCAAUCAAGUAAUCAGAAACAUAUCAAUAUCAAUAUAGUCUAGAAAAUGAAGACGAAGGUUGGAAGAACAUUGGGGCAUGCAUGAUUUCUUCUUUAUAUAGAUAGAUAAAGGAUCUAUAGGGAAAUUACUUAGAAGUUCAUUUUGUGCAAUAAUCCUUCCUAUCAAAUAGAAAAGGAUUCAAUGAUCCUGAACUGAUCUUACAGAAGUUGUCUAUAGUUGAUUUCUUCUACAUAAUACUAUUUGAUAGGAUCUCAUCGAUUAGUGCUACAAUUUGAUAGGGCAUCAUCGAUUAGUGCUGUAAGAUCCCGUGCAUUGGAACCCAUGGUUAUGGACCUAUAUACAUUAGUAUGGAACUUUUUUUUUUUUGCAAGUGAAAUCCCUAUGAAAGAAUGAAAAAGUGCUUUCAUUCUUGUGGGAUAACAAGCCUCCAUAUCUUAAUGCAUGUAUUUAAUUUAUUCGAAGCUAUUAGAGCGGGAUCCAGUUUUUAAGAAAUAUGAAUCGAAGCAAUAAGAAUAUUUCUAGUGGAACAUCUUUCAUAAUCCUUGGAGAGAUAAUUCUCUAAUAGACUGAGAGAUAAGUAAUUCGACUCAUUCACUUAUAGAUCAUCAAUGUUUCAUAUUAUGCAAGAAGACAUUGCAUUUGCUAAUUUGAAUUGAAAGGUGAUAUCAAAUCGGUCUAUUUUCGUCAUUGAACAUAGCACAUUCACCAUAGUUAGUAGCUCCAUAUCAAGGUCAUCAUCAAUAUCGUCACUAUCAUCAAUAUCAAUAUCAUCAUUAUUAUCAAUAGCAAUAUCAUCAUUAUCAUCAAUAUCGAUAUCAUUCUUAAGAUAACAUUUAGGCUUGUCAUCCAGGAACUUGUAACUUCUAUUGUGGGUAAAUGUAUUUGGUUUCAAAGCCCUAUGAGCUCUACAUUCGAAGAAUAUGCGAAUUCCCCCUUCUUAUUCCAAGACUUUUUAAGGCUCACCUAUGGCAUUUAAAUUGAAAGAGAUAAGUUGAAUAAGUAUGGUCGUCUUCUAUUGGGAUGUACUAUUAAGCCAAAAUUGAGAUUUUCUGCAAAGAACUACAGUAGAGCAGUUUAUGAAUAUCUACACUGCAUACUUGAUUUUACUAAAAAUGAUGAGAAUGUGAACUCAUAACCAUUUAUGCAUUGCAGAGACCAUUUCUUAUUUUGUAUCGAUGAAAUUUAUAAAGUGCAGGCUGAAAUAGAUGAAAUUAUGAUUAAUCUUGCCAAAGUAAUAGGAAAUAGACCUAAGACACUUCCAAAUAGAAAAUCUUCAAUCAUUUUGAUUUUUUGAGAGGAUAAAAAGAUGAUAAGAUCUAUUCCUAAAUAUUAAUCUAAACUAGGUGUUCCAUGGUUCCUUUCCACAUCAACUGCCAAUUUUUGGUUCUCCAGAUUCACAAAUAACCAAUGAUAAAAAGGUAGGUUUUAUUUAAUUUAGCAUAUGAAUUCGCACCUGAAUCAAACCGUACCUAAUAUUUAUCAGGCUAUUAUUCUCUUGUUCCCUCGAAUCCGUGGACUAAAAAUAUCAAUUUGUCAAUAUGAUCAAUUGUGUUUAUUGCAUAAUGGGCUACCUUAAAAAGUAUUGGUGUGUAAAUGAGGUAACUGAGCUAUAGCCCUUGUCAUAGAUAUAUUAACAUAUGGAUAAUUUCUUAUCAAGAUGGAUAUUCCAAAAUUCCACAUGAUAGCUCUCUAAUCUAUUUACUGCUAACAAAUUGGUAUUACUUAAAAAUGUGUAACACCCAACCCAGGUAAUAAGAAACUAGGCCUAGAUCACUUGACCGGCCUAGAUGCAAAAGUUGGAGUAGGAAACGGAAAAUAAAAGGACAGAGCCCUAUUCGACUUGGGGUAAAAGAUGGAGAAAAAAAAAUAGAGCUCUGUUCAACUUGGAGUAGGAGACAGAUUCCUACUCCAUCUUGAUUUCCUAUAGAAGUUAGGAAAUCUAGGCCCCAUUAGCUAUUUAAAAAUCUCCCACAUCCUCUUUUGUCUUACCUCUGAUAGGUUUUGUCGAUCACUAUUGCUAGACCACCGCUAGCUCCUUCCUCUUUUCUUUUGAAUUCCAACGGUCUUCGCUCACAGUGCUCAUCAGAGAUUUUAAUGAGCACUCGCUGGAAUCAAGUUCUAAAAGGGAUGGUCAAAAUUAUUUGGACCUAUAGUUGGUUUUGCUCGUAAUAAAAGUAAUGUAACUCUUUUUGGUGAUAAAUAACUUAAUUAACUUGGUGGUUUGAGUAUUGCUUUUAUACGGCAGGAGUCAUUAGUUCAAAUCCAAUAAUAUCUAGAACUUGUUGGAUAAGUCAAUUGACUGGUAUCUAAUAAAUUUUUUACCCAUUUUCUUUUUUCAUUAUAUCAGAUUAGACUUGAUUAUGUUCAACUGGAAGAAUCAAAAUAUGGUAUAUAAUAAUACACUUCUAAAGAUCAUCUUUUGAUUAUUUGAUGUAUUGACUUGACCAUGAGGAAAUAUCAUUUACCACCUCUACUUGUGCCUAGCUCGUCUGAAGUUAAAUUCACUUCAAUUGCUUGUCUCUUACCCUGAGAUCUACUCAAGUUUGCUUCAACUAUUUCAAGAGCUUGCUAAGCGUCUUGCGGAUCAAUGUCGGUACUAAUCUCGGCUUCAUUUUCUAUAAUGGUAAUCUUAUUAUUACUCGUUCUAGCGAAACCACCCAUCGGAGCCACCAUUAACUAAUGGUCAUUGAGGUGUAUUCUAAAAAGACCUAUAUCUGCAGUUGUGGAAAUGGGGGCAUGGUUUGGUAAUAUGCCUAUUUAUCCACUAUUAGUAGAUAAAAUAAUUUCUUUUACUUCUGAAUCCUAAAUAAUUUAAUUAGGAGAGAGUACACAAAGAUUGAAGGUCAUUCUUCAAUUUGCUCUCCACUUAUAAGUUCAUAGCUUUUGCAGUAGCUGAAAGAGUAGAUGCCCUAUGAGCCAAUCAUUUGAUGGAUUUCUCUUUGUAAUCCUCCAAAUCAUGUGCUUUGACACUUGAUAUAUCUCAAUAAAGGCAUUGUGUUUUAUCAUUUGCUGCUUAUCUAUUUUAUUGUUAGAUGAUGAACCCCAUAAAUUAGGACAUUGGUUUUAGGGUUAUGAUGAGAUCAUACCAGUGAGACCUAAAAUCCUAAAAUCCUAAUUUAGAAUAUUCCCAGUCAAAUUGGUAUAUUGAGUUGGGGAUCAAUAUUACCGGAAAGACUGGCACAUCUUAUGUAUGUUUGAUGUAGAGGGUGAUUGAUCUUCCAAUCAGGUUAGGUCAACUUGCACCUGCACCUACUGCUGGCUAAGAUAAGGAACCUAAUGGGUCACACACAAUGGAAUUGAUCAAGGGUCUAAUUGGAUUAGAUGAUGUUUGCAAGAUGAACAUGCUAGCACGUGUUGCAAACCCUAGCUCCUGAUUCAAAUUAAAUUCGAAUCUGAUUCUUAGAUUAGGUUGAUCUAAUAUGAUUAGAUCAUGACCUAAUAUGGGUUAGCCAAGAGUUGGAACCCAUUUGGCUUUAAUUAGACAUGAUUUGAUUAGGUUUAAUGUUUCCUUUAAGUUGGUUAAACCCAAUUGGAUUGGGUUUGAUAGGGCCUUCACUUCUGGACCAUUGGAUGGCUUCCUGGAUGAAGGAUCUGGUCCACUGGUUGGCGUCGUUCNNNNNNNNNNNNNNNNNNNNNNNNNNNNNNNNNNNNNNNNNNNNNNNNNNNNNNNNNNNNNNNNNNNNNNNNNNNNNNNNNNNNNNNNNNNNNNNNNNNNNNNNNNNNNNNNNNNNNNNNNNNNNNNNNNNNNNNNNNNNNNNNNNNNNNNNNNNNNNNNNNNNNNNNNNNNNNNNNNNNNNNNNNNNNNNNNNNNNNNNNNNNNNNNNNNNNNNNNNNNNNNNNNNNNNNNNNNNNNNNNNNNNNNNNNNNNNNNNNNNNNNNNNNNNNNNNNNNNNNNNNNNNNNNNNNNNNNNNNNNNNNNNNNNNNNNNNNNNNNNNNNNNNNNNNNNNNNNNNNNNNNNNNNNUUCUGGGACGGGUCGUUGCCGGCGGCGGCCGCGGGAAAGGGAAGACGACCUGUCUUCCUCUUCUUCGGCACCUCCCCACCAUGGGGGGCAGGGGGAGAGGGAGGGGGUGCGACGGCGGGGGCAGAGGGAGAGAGUGCGGCGGCAGGGGGAGAGGGAGUGAGGUUGGGUGGGAGAGGAAGAGACGAUGAGAGAAAGGUUUUUGGGUGGAAUUUUUUUUAAAAUGAGGGUAUUUUGGUCAAAAAUACAGCUUUCCGAAAAAGCUGAAAACAGCAUUUUGGAAAAGCUCCAAAUUGGAGCUUCCCCCCAAAAGCUGUUUUCAGCUUCCCGCAAAAGCUGAAACAGCUUUUCGAAAAAUUUAUCAAACACUCUUUUUUAGCUAAAAGUACUUUUGGAGGGCCAGAAAGUGCUUUUUGGCCCUCCAAAAGCUCCCCCAAACAGGGCCUGAAUUUGAUCACUUUAGCCGAAAAGAAGAUUCAUAUAUGACCUACUUGUCACCAGUAAGCAUGUCUUUAACUUCCAUUACUCCAACUGGAACAGUUGCCUUAAGUUUGAAAUUGAAUGAAAUCAAUCACGUCCAAUAGGAUUGGAACCUAUACGAAGGAUUCAUCACCUCUGUCCUUUCCAGUAGGCAUUCCAGACUUCUUCUUCCAUUUGUCCUACGAAACUUGAUUAGAUUCCAGGACGUUGGAGAAGGCAAACGACAAUGUUUUUUCGAAGUUAUUGCAGCUCAACGAUCCGCGUGAAAUAGAAAACAAAUAAUGACGCUUUUAAAACAUGAAAAUUUAACUUAGAAUCUAAUCAGAUAUGUAUUCUAUUCGAGUAGCCAAACAAGCCCGUAAUCACAGUAAAACUAUUAUGGAAUCACUGCAUGGUUGUUUUUUAAAAAAUACUAAAAAUUCCAUAAUUUUAUAUAUUUAUGACGAGUAAUUUUCUGGGACCUUCAAGUCAAGAGUUUUAUAUAAAACUGGCAAGAGGGAGAGAAAAGUUGACAAAGGAUUAUUUGUGGAUGUGCAAGUGAAUUAUUUAAUCAUUUACCACCUCUUCCAUUUCUAGUUUUCUAAAGAUCAGAUAACAAUGUGGCCAGGGGUUGGCAUUCAAGUUGGACAAAUCAGGUAUCGAUUGGGCCCAAUUCAAGUUGGGCAAGAAGAAGCUCAACCUAAACUGUGCCCAGAUUUGGCCAACCCAGAAAGCUCCACGGUGCGGCAGACGCAUAUCUGGGCUCUUCGGUGGACCGUUUUCGCGAAAACCGACGCAACCCAACAAUUUCUUCCAAGAUGUUCAUUUCCCUCUGGGCUAUCUUAUCCAACGGCCCAUAUUACGUCAUGAACCCAUAUUUUGGGACCAUUGGAUUUUGUUAGCGAGUGGACCAUGUCUACAACCGUCUGGCCUGAUUAGCGACCUUAGAAACGGAUCCGUUUUGGGUAAUCCAAACCCGACAUGAUGACAACCUACCUAAUGCUAAACCUAAGAUUGGAUGAACUUAGUCAUUUCAGGGUUUGAUUAAUGGGCCCGACUUUCUUUUUUUUCUCUCUUCUUUUUUUUUUUUUGCUAAAGCGGAUGGUUCAAACGUCUCCCACUCUGACUUUGUAGCUACCAGAGGAGCUCCAAACUCUAAAAUUCAGACAAGCACACUCUAGAACGACUAAACUCUCUUUAUGAGGUGCUCUCCAAAUAGAUAGUUGGUCAGGGUGGAUCCGACUUAGUUGGCCUGGCGAGCCUAAGGAUUUAGCAGUUCAUCUCGAUUCUUGAGAAAUCCUUUUUAACCGGUUCAAUUUAUCGAACGAAAUCCGAACCGGAAUUGUAGCUCAGUCGAUUGAUAGGAUAGGCCGGCUCCACGGCACGGAGAUGUCGUUACUUGAAUUGUUCCGCGGAGUAGCAGACCAAUGUCUCGUGGCUAUUACCCUGGCCGUUAUUUAGGGGCGAACAAACAAAGAAGCCUUCUCCCCACAUUGGGGAAGCGAGAGCGAUCGAAGCCCGCGCUGCAAAAUUCGAAAGAAAGGAAAGAAACAAGAAAUAGGGUUUCAGGCUCCCAUCGCCAUGGCCGGUGCCGGAGCCAAAUCUCUACUACCAGAAGUGGACACCACCGUCGCCGCCGCCGCCGUUGCGUGCUCCAUUCCCGGCCUCGAACCCCGCCGACGCGGCCACCGAAGCGGUAUCGCUCUCUCUCUUUCCUUCAUCAAACCCCCCCGAUGGACUGGAGUUCGCCUUGGAUUUUCUUCUCUCCCUCUUGCUGAAGGUCGGCACGAUCCACGUGAGUGGGUUCCCGAGUGACCUGAAGGGGAGAGAGCUUCAUCUCCUCCCGAGGUGGAUGCCGAGCUUCACGGUCUCUCUUUUCCAGCCACAAGCACAGGCGGGAUUCGCACUCUUCUCGACCCGCCAGCACGCCGUGGUCGCCUAAUUCUUUCUCAAUGUAAUUUUCCUCUCUCUUCGUUCUUUCUCCCCCAUGACAAUCGUUUUGAUUGCUUCUGGUCUGGUUCUUGGUCUUUGAAUCGAGUUGAAUGUGAGAUUUCUUCGUGCAUUUCAGGGCUUGAAGCUUGAUGGGUCACGGGAUCAUAUAUUGCGCGAGGCGAUGACAAAGAACAAUCUUUGCAUCAGGGUAGGGUUUCGUCGUUUGGUACCCCAUUUACUUUGCUUUUGGUGCAAAGAAUUUUGUCUGAUUCCUUUCUUUUCUUUUUUUAAUAAAUAUUGUGAAGAUUCUUUUCUUUCUUCCCGAUUGCAAGAAUAGUGUGGCAAUUGAUGGAGAUCUCUAUAUUUUUCCCUCUUCUUUCUUCCACAAUAUCAGAUUAUGGCUACCACUGUUGGUCAAGAUAUGGUCUGAUUAAUUUGUCAUGGAAAAAUGUUUGAUAUUCAUGGGAUCCCUUUUUUUAAUGAUAUUAUAAAAUUGAUCAUGUUAUCCAUUAUUGCGCGGGUGGUGGUUGGAGACCAACUAUAUCUUAAUAGCUACAUGACUGUUGUGCAUCUCCUGUUCACGUAUGGGGUAUCCACAAGGAUUAUAACUUGACAUCCAAGCACUCCCUUAAUUUUGUUCAUGCAAUUAGAGACUACAAGUUCUCAUCCUCUUUGUCAAACUAUAGUUUAGCAGUAUAUUUUCCCAAAUAACACUAUCCAACCCCAGCUCAAAGAACUUGGUAAUAUUAUUAGAAUACAAGGGUUUCAAAUUUUUCCCGGUCUCAAAUUUUGCCAAGCAUCUUUUAGCUUCCUUUGGGCAGAUUAUGGAUUUUUUUAGAAUGGAAUGGAGCGAAGAGGUUGUAUAUGCAUAUAAUGCUUGGAGCCAAAUAUUUUUGGACUAUGCUAGUUGACACUGACUGGUUUGUUUUAAAACUGGCAAUGGAUUGUCUGGUAUCUCCCCAUGAACUGAUAUUUUUCUGGUUCAUGUGGAAAACAAGCUUGCAACAACUUGUAUUAGUUGAACUUGUUAAUGAAGUAGUGUCCCAAGCGAUUUGACAUAGUAUAGACUAAUAUAGAAUACUUCAAUUUAAUUUGAAUUGUUAAAAUGCUAUAGAACUUAUUCAAGUGCUCGUAUUUGUUUAGAAUAGGACCAAGUGGGCCCUUGAGAAUAGCUUCAUGCACUAUCUCUCUUCCUUUAAGGGCCUGUUUGAAUGAUUGGACUAAAACUCCUUUGGGAUUUGUAGGUUGGGUCAGUACAGCUGGCAAAAUUAUAAAGAUUACAGGCUGGGCUAGGCCUAUAUUUAUAAAUACUUAGGAGUGGCUUUGGAGUGGGCAAGCUUUUCUCCUUAUGGGAUUCAGGGCGGUCCAUUCUAAAGCUACUCCUGUAUAUUUAUGAAUAUAGACCUAGCCCAGCCUGUAAUCUUAUAAUUUUGCUGGUUGUAUUGGCCCAACCCAUGAAUCCAGUAGAAUUUUUAGCCCAAUCAUUCAAAUAGGCCCUAAGUGAAAUAUGGCAGAAGAAAGCAAAAUCCAUAGACUGAUUCCCUGUAAAAUUCAUAGGUAUUUGAACCCGAGUAUCCAGGAAAAAGCAGAAUAUUAAAUCAAGAAUAGGUCUCCUUUUGAAGAACAUGUUCUACUAGGAAAGGCCUAUAUCCUAAAAUUAAUUCGUCAAGUUGACGAUAAAAUCCAUGUCCUGUUUGUUCUUCUAAUUGAUUGCUUCUAAACUUGGUCCAGUCUUUUCCGGAAAAAGGAUUGAGUUGAAUCGAAUAAAAUAAAAAAUGAGUACCAUACCAUGUAUUUGCAUAUAUCUCUCAUAUGUACAGACCUUACUUAUUUACUUAAUGUCCUUUAGAUAUUUAAAAUGACAUCUUUUGAGCACCAUUCAGACAUAGCGGGCUAUUUGUUUUGACAUAGGUUUGUCAACAAUAACUUCUGCUCUUGCAGCCAUGACUGAUCUGAUCAUACUUCACACCAGAAUUGAUCACUUUCACUUAUGUCUCACUUUCUGUACAUUUCUACAUGAUGAGUUAACUGAUGCAUACAAUUCUCUAAUUUAUAAGUGCCAUGACCAAUUCUGGCUCCUUUAACCAUGCUUGAUGAGCUAUGCAACAUGAUUUGAUCACGUAUCUCUGCCCAGGUACUGAUCUGCUUUGUGGUUUUCUGCAUUCAAUUUCUUGUGUUUUACUUGAAACACCAUUUUUACAUUAGAAGUUGUCCAGGGUUCCAAUGGUACAAGAUACUCUAAAUCCAAGCAGUAUGAACGGUUCUGAUUUCAUCUGUUCUCACUAAAUUAGAUUUUGAUGUGGCUUUGUCUUUAGGUACAUGCCUUCAUCUACUUCUUAUUUCCUUCCUAGGGGCUUUAUGGCAACACAAGCACCUGGCCUACUGAUGUUGACAUACGAGGAUGUAGCACUUCUGUGCCUGGUCAGGUAGCAGCCAUGUUUUGCUUAUUUGACUAUAAUUUCUAUUUCCUCAGUCCCCAAACUGGGAAACAGAAGUCCUUUUGCUAAUAUGCUCUCACACACAAUUUUUGUUUAGUAUAGGUGCUUUUCUCUAAAUACUUGUAAUUUCUUGCGGCCUCUCUGGUAUUCUGAGUCUUCAUUCUCUUGUAGUGCAUUCUGUUUAUAUAGAGUAUGGACCUUCUUAUGCAGAGGAACUUACUCAUUGCUGAGAGUUUAUUGAUAAUAACUAGCUCAAAUUGUACAGAAUGAUGCUCAUUGUUGCUUAAUUAUUUUGUGCUGUAGUUCCUUUUCAUGUCAAUAUCUUCUGCCGCAAUUUUUUUCAGCGCAAUUAACUUCAAAUUCUAAAUAACUUAAGGGUCAUAAGAUCCUAGACCCCCGCCAAUUUUGAUGAGCUAGGGAACAUGUUUUCUUCCUCCUGGUAAUAGUUUUUUUUUUUUUGGUGCUUGUCUAGGCUAAUACUCAUUGAUGCAUUGUAGGGCUAGAUUUGAAAGAAGGCAGUAAGGGAUGAUGUUAUUACAACCUCUUUCCAUGAAUAAUAUAGGUCUGUCAUGGACAAAAUAAUCAGAAACAAAGGUGUCUAAAAUGUUUGAACCUUUUGUUAUUAUGAAGCUUAUGAAAUGCGAAUUCUUAAAGCAUGUCAAACUCAAGGCGUUGCAUGGAAGCAUAGAACAAUAAAUUGGAAUAUCAGUGAGUCAGUGAAUGGAAGGUUCAUUUAGUGCACCCAAUUUCUUAUGUCAUAAAAGUGCAAGGGCAUGAGCUAUUUACCUCAUGGAAAACAUGGCUUUACGUGAAAAACCACUCAUAUCCCAUCUAAACCAGAUGCCCUGUCAGACUAGUUUCAUCUUUAGCAUCCUACUGCAAAUAACCUCCUUACAUAAACAUCCACUGAAGUUUGCACUGGUGUAGCAGAGCCGCAGAGGUCACUGCAGAACCUAUUCUGUCCAAUUGUUAGUUGUAUUUAUUUUGUGGUUGUAAUGCAUGUUGGGUCCAUGUGAAUUCAGUUAUUGGCGUUGUCUUUGUCAUGAAAUAUUAUGUUGGUAGAGGUUUGCACAGAUUGAUUUCAAAUAUAGGGCCCUUGAAUUGAAAUGUUUGUUUAAUUGAAAGGGUCUAGUGUGGCUUGUAAAUAGUGCAGCGGACUGGGUCGUCUCCUAUAUGGCACAUCAUGCUGGAGAGUUUUUUUUGGUGGAUCAGAAAUCGGCUCCUGCUUCUCUUCGCUAUGUAUCUUUCUGAUAUUGUAGGGUGCGCUCACACACGACUAGUGUGAGUAACCGCUGUAGAAAAAAAAAAGAGAGAAGAUUCCAUUCAGUUUGUUUAGAAUGCUUCCUCAAUUUAAAAAAUCUUUCGGCACUGCCCUCCAGUCUUUCUGACAUUAUUUAAAUAUUAAGUUGGAGCAAGUUUCCAUCCUUGCUUCCAUCCAGAAUCUGUUGAUAAAGAUCAACUGCUUGGUUUGCUUGUCGUGUUUUGUUCCAUUGUUUCUAGUGAGCACAAUCCAUGUUUGAAAGAUCCAUCCCAACUAAUCUGCCAUUUGAGUUCUCUUUUAGUGCCAGGCCAUGAUGCAGACUUCCAUUUUCCUGGUCAACUUGUAGUUAGCUCGUGCUUGAAUUCUAGUUCUUUUGUAUGUUCUAUUGACCUCUGAAACAUCGCAUCCUGGAGUAGCUAGCUUCUCUUGGUUUUCAACUUUUCAAGGUUUUGCUGUCGAGCAGAAAUUAAUAGAGUAUGGGUAUGAUAAUCUAAAUCAGUUUUUUAAUUAUCAGAUAUUAGGUUUGAUUAGCUUUACCUAGUUGGUGGACUCGGAGGUGGUGGUGGUAGUUGGAGGUUUCAGUAUUCUUGGUGAUGGUGACCUCUGCAAAAAUUGAACUUAAACAGAACAUGUUGAGUAGUGAGGACAACCUGGUCUGUUUCCUUUCCUUGUUCUCGGGUGAAGUUGUUAUCCUUCGAUGUGGAAUUGGAUAUUUAUGGGUUGCGUUCGUGGUUGGUUUUUUUUUAUUUUAAGGAACAUAGAUUUGCUUCUUCCCAUUUUCUUAUCUAUAUGUUUUUAUAUAAUUUUUUAAAAGAACUUUGAGUUGCAGGCAGGGCAGCUGCAAUCACAAGUACAAGUGCUUGCAAUGCAAACCAUGUCGUUCCCUAAGGCGGCAUCACCAUGAUGGGAGCAAUGGGAUGUUGUUCCUUGGGCCAUGUAACUUUAAGCCAUGGAAAAUUCAUCUUUGCUGGUGAGAGCUUGAUGCAGCAAAAAAAAGGAUAACACUUCAAAAAUUAACAUACAAAUAGAAGCAAACGAGGUCAAAGAAUCUUUUAUUUAAUUAAAAAAAAAUUCAAUUUUUUUUAAUAUAUUAAAAGAAUGCCCUGUACAAUAUAUUUAGAUCUGGAUAUUCAGAACCCAUCUCUAAUUUUUGGUAUUAAAUUCAAUAUAGAAUUAUGUUUGAACAAGACUUUAUAAUAAGGAGGAGUGCUGACUAUUUUUGACAUUGGGAGGCCCAUUGUCUUGAUCAUUUGCCGCCAACAUUAUGGUAGCAAUUAAGAAAUAAGGAGGAGUCCAAUUCAAAUCUUUCUUUAACGGUCAAUAGGGGUGCGAGUUCCACGAGUGCCGACUAUUUCUGACAUUGGGAGGUGCCGCCUGACAUUAUGGUGCGUUGGAUGACGUGGCAUUGGGAGGCCCAUUCAUUGUCUCUAUCAUUGCCCGCCUAACAUUAUGGUGCGUUGGCGCCUUCAUUUAUUAUUUUUUUCCUUCCACUUCAAACUGGUCCCCUCAUGCAGCCUAUGCGUUGGCAGCAAUGCAGUGGGUCGGGGUCGAAUGCAUCGUGGAAAUUAUUGGGGUGUGAUCAUGGAAGACGCUAUUCUGACAAAUAUUGUGAUGUCAACCUUGCAUGACUUGUGAUGUAUGUAUCAACAGUUGUAUCGAAAUCAAGAAAUUAUUCUUUAGGUCCUGUUUGGUAUGAUUUUCUUUUCCUUUUUUUAAUAAACAGAAGCACGGCAACUAAAGCAGGAAACAAGUUUGGUAAGCAUGUUUCUUUUUUUCUUUCAAAAUAUAAAUUUUUAUUAUUUCUGAAAAAGGUUGAAAUGAGAAAUUAUCCUUCGCUCCGGCCUUAUGGUAAAACUCAUCUCUUCGACCACUCUCUCUCUCUACUUUUCUCCCAUGCGGCCUCAUCGGACCGUCUCCCUACUUUCUCCCCUAGAUCUCACGUGUUAGAGCCUCACCGGAGCUCGAUCUCACCACCUCUCCCCGCUUCUCCUCUCUUUUCUCCGAUGAAGAGCAUGAAGGCCAGACCCUUAACCAUCCUCUCCUCUGCUUCUUUUUCUUCUGAACUGCGGCCUCAUUUAGCAAGUUGCAGAAUCAAUGAAUGUUAGAGAACUAGAAUUGCUUAGGUCUAGGUAUAGCAUCCUUCAAAUCAUGUUCUGGUGGAGCUUCUUACUUGGUAGAAGACCUGUGGAUGGGUGAGAGGGUAAAGGGUGCAGGGACUUGGGGACAUGGGGCUGCUUCAGAUGAAGUCGAUGUGGCAAUUUGGAAUGAGGUCCAAGAGAAACAACUUGGGGUGGUUCUUGAGACACCAUGCAAAUGCAUCAGCUCAGAACCGCGGCACAGGCCCUCACAGAGUUGGGUCUGAUGCCUGAUUCUCUUAAACCAUUGUUUCAUCUGGACUGAUAUUUUCACUUUGCAUCCACAUAUAUACUAUUACAGCAUUGUUAUGUUUUUAAAACAUUUUAACAGUCAUGGAGUUUUGAAUUUGGACUGGUUAGGCAUGAUGUCUAUUACUCAUUGUAAGUCUUAAAAGUAGAUGAACUAGAGAAUAGCAGAGAAAAUAUAAUUGCUUUGAAUUUUCACUUUUGCUCUUACCAAACAAUUUUAUUUCUGUUGUCAGGGAAAAAGAAUUAGUAACUAUGGUACAUGUUUCUAUUAUCAGAAAUCUGGUCCAUGUUUCAUCUGUUCUCCUAUUUGCUAAUGAAUUAUCAUCACUAAUUAAACAGAUAGUUAUAAUCUGCUAAUGCUAUUUCUUUCUAGUAACUGUUUCUUUUGCCUAAUGGUGCUAUCCUUGCCUGUUACAUGCGUAAUUAUAUAUGAAUAAGAACAGAAACUUUAUGUUCUUUAUUUUUGUUAUGUGAAUUCCUUUGCUGGUAAGCUCUUAAAAAUUUUCUUUUCAUUUUUUCCCUUGCCCGUUUGGCAAACUUAAAACUUUUUUUUCGAGGAAAUUGCUAUUCCUUUCUAGUAACUGUUUCUUUUGCUACGUGGUGCCAUCCUUGUUUGUUAAUUGCGACUUCGAACGACCGGCGUGAAGUGUGAACCCUAGCGCCCAAUGCCCAUUGGGUAAUUAAUUGCGACUUCCAACUACUUUUUAUUGUCUCUCUCUCGCUCGCUCGCUCUCUUGCUCUCUCUGCCCUUAGUGCUCUGCUCGAUGUUUGCCUGCCCUGACGUACCCGUGACCUGCCUGUCGGUCUGUCUGUCGCUAAACGAAGUUACAUCGUGUUCUUAGAAGAUAGACAGAUGACGCUGCAUCCACCGCAUGAUAGUCUGAACGCCUCUUUCCAUCGUCGCUUGAAGUUGAAAAACGUGUGCUGUUUUACUGGAAUUCCAAAAUACUAGAGAUUUAAAUGCCUCGUAGAGUUGGUUUACACUAGGUUGUAUGAUUCUGUCCCUCUCUAAUCUUGUCUCUCGGAUUUUGUGUGUUCGAGCGGCAAGAACCCUGGAGCGAGGAGGUAACGAAAGUGAAGAGCUUUCCACUAUUCGAGCACUAGAAGCGCUCCGACAGAAGUAAAGAUCCCUCCUUUUCCUUGGAUUUUUUCUGUUCUUGUGAUCUUUUUGAGAAACGGGAUCUUUUCGUUUGAAUCACUCAACGCUUUUCUUGAAUUACAUUUCUUUUUAGUUGCCAAUAGCUCUCUUUUGCUCCCGUGGUAUGUGUUAAAUUUCCAUGCGAUUGCUUGUAGUAACUCUUGAAAUUAAGGUAGUCAAACGUGUCCUCCUCCUCAGAUUUCCUCAAGUCUGUCGGCCUUCACAGAGUUAGUUCUUUUCUUUUGGCAUUGCUCCAUGACUCUUCCCGCAGCAGUAACCUAGCGCUCUCAUCUUCUUUGUUUUUCUUAUUCUUUUCUUUCUUUCUUUUCUUUUUCUUUUCUUUUUUCUUUUGUCUUAUAUUGCUUAUUAGUUAUAUAAAACAGCUGUGUCAUCCGGAAUAUCUCUUUUUCUGCUGAUUUUCUAUUUACUGUUUUCAGUUUUAACAUCAACAGCAAAAAAAUAAUAAUAAUAAAUAAAUAAUACAAUUCUUUUUAGCUUCUUCAAAUUUUUUCCACAUCUACGAGAUGGGUUAUCUUCUUUGGCAUUGCUCAUCACUGCUCCUGGCUUUGCUUCCACUAUCCUUCGGUUUGACCUCCGAUGGAACAGCCCUCCUGGCCCUCACCAAAAGCCUGAUCUUACCGCACUCCAUAAAUUCCACCUGGAAAUCUUCUGACCCAACUCCAUGCAAAUGGGUGGGAGUAAGUUGCGACAAGAGGCGCCAUGUGGUGUCUCUCGAUCUUGCAGAGAGAGGGAUUUCAGGCACAUUGGGACCGGAGAUAGGACUGCUGCGACAUCUGCGGACGGUUGAUCUUGGUGUCAAUGAUCUCUCUGGACUGAUCCCACCAGAAUUGGGCAAUUGCACCCUGGUGGAGCACUUGGACCUCUCGAUUAACUUCCUUUCUGGUGAGAUACCGGAGACCCUCCAAAACUUGAAGAGGUUGUCUUAUCUAUCCCUUUACGGAAAUUUCCUUACUGGAAAAAUACCAGAUCCUCUGUUCCGAAUUAAGUAUCUGGAAACAAUUUAUCUCAAUCAAAACAAUCUCACUGGCUCGAUCCCUCAUACUGUCGGGAAUAUGAGCAGGGUCAAGGACCUUUGGCUGAGUGACAAUCUCUUGUCAGGUGUCUUCCCUGAUUCAAUUGGAAACUGUACCAAGUUAGAACAGCUCAAUCUGUUCAAUAACCAGCUGACCGGUCCUCUUCCAGAAACUUUAAAUAGCAUCAGAGGGCUUAAAAUUUUGGAUGUCCAUAGUAAUAAUUUCGGUGGGAGGAUUCCUUUUGGUUCAAGCAGUUGCAAGUUGGAACAGCUAAUUUUGUCAUUUAACCGAUUGGAAGGUGAGAUCCCAGCAGGGUUAGGAAAUUGCAGUAGCUUGACGGUCUUUAGUGCUGUUGGCAAUGGACUGUCUGGUGAGAUACCAUCUUCACUUGGUUCACUGACCAAGCUUACAAUACUUUACCUAUCUGAAAACUCUUUGUCAGGAUCCAUUCCAGCAGAGAUAGGGAAAUGUCAAUCACUGAGGGCAUUAGAAUUGUAUGAGAACCAGCUAGAAGGGGCUAUUCCAAGGGAACUGGGUAAGUUGUAUAAUUUGACCAAGCUCUUUCUGUUUGAUAAUCACUUGACUGGAGAGGUUCCUAUAGAGAUUUGGCGCAUCCGGAGUCUUGAGCAUGUUCUAAUAUAUAAGAACAAUCUCUCUGGGGAGCUGCCUUUGGAGAUGACCGAGUUAAGAAAUCUGAGAAACAUUUCUCUGUUCAAUAAUCGGUUUACAGGGGUCAUACCUCAAGGUCUGGGUAUCAAUAGUAGUUUGGUGCAGAUUGAAGUCACUAACAAUAGCUUUGUUGGUGGAAUACCACCACAUAUCUGCUUUGGAAAAGAACUUAGACUUCUCAACUUGGGAUUUAAUAUGCUCAAUGGUAGCAUGCCUGUAGGUCUUGGGAACUGUUCAACUUUGCGGAGGUUGAUUCUUCGUAAUAACAACCUCACAGGUUCCAUUCCAGAAUUUGUGGAAUCUUCUAGCCUGUCAUAUAUGGAUUUAAGUUUCAAUAAUUUGAAUGGGCAUGUUCCUCCUAGCCUGGGAAAUUGUGGAGACCUCGCUAUGAUAAACUGGUCAGGGAACAAGCUUGUUGGUCCAAUACCUCAAGAAAUUGGAAGGCUAGCAAAUUUACAAGUUCUGAAUCUUUCUUACAACAAUUUAUAUGGUAUGCUGCCUCUGGAGAUUUCGCACUGCAGUAGAUUGUAUUUGCUGGAUUUGAGUUUCAAUUCUUUGAAUGGCUCAAUCCCGCCAAGCUUAACAAACUUAACAGUGCUCUCUCGAUUGAUACUGCAAGGCAAUCAGUUCAGCGGAGGGAUUCCAAGUUUCCUGUCACAAUUUGACAGGCUACUGGAGCUGCAGCUUGGGGGAAAUAAAUUGGGAGGCAAUAUCCCUUCAUCAUUGGGUGCACUACAGAAUCUGGAAAUAGCUUUAAACCUCAGUGAAAACAGACUGGCAGGUCAGAUUCCAUCAGCAUUAGGGAAUUUGAAAAGAUUACAGAGCUUGGAUUUAUCUCUCAACAAUCUGACAGGAAGCUUAAAAUCCUUGGAUGAUCUCAGUUCGCUGCUUCAAGUGAAUGUUUCGUUUAAUCAAUUUAAAGGUCCACUACCAGAAAAAUGGUUGAAGUUUCUGAACUUGUCACCAAGCUCAUUUAUGGGAAAUCCAGACCUUUGUAUCUCUUGUCAGGCAGAUGAGUUGUCUUGCACAAAUACGACUACUUUAAAACCCUGUGGUCCAUCGAGCAAUUCUAGAGGCCUUAGAAAGAUUAAGACCGUGAUGAUAACUCUUGGCUUGUUACUUGUCGGUGUCCUGGUAUUUCUUUUGUUUGGAUUUGUUCUCUUCAAGUGUAAACAGACAACAAAAGAGGAAGGACCAUCUUUACAUGAGGGUUCUUCUUUCCUGCUGAAUAAAGUAAUGGAAGCCACUGAGAACUUAAAUGAGAAAUUUGCUUUGGGGAAAGGAGCUCAUGGAACUGUUUACAAGGCUUCAUUGAGCCCAGAAAAAGCUUAUGCUGUAAAAAAGCUUGAUUUUGCAGGCCACAAGGGAACAAGUACAAGUAUGGUGAGAGAAAUCCAAACGGCUGGACAAAUCAGGCACAGGAAUCUGGUGAAACUGGCAGACUUCUGGCUGAGAAGUGACUAUGGGUUGAUAUUGUAUGACUACAUGGAGAAUGGAAGCCUUCAUGAUAUUCUACAUGAGAUAAAACCAGCUCCAGUUUUAGAGUGGAAUGUGCGUUACAGGAUAGCUCUUGGAACUGCUCAAGGGCUGGCAUAUCUUCACAAUGACUGUAAUCCAGCUAUUAUUCACCGUGAUAUUAAACCUAAGAACAUACUCUUGGACUCAGAGAUGGAGCCACAUAUCUCAGAUUUUGGCAUUGCCAAGCUCAUGGAUCAACUUUCUGCCUCUCUUGAUUCCACUGCCAUCACGGGCACCAUUGGUUAUAUGUCUCCAGGUACUCUUCUAUUGCCAAGGACUUGAUGAUGCUUUUAUUUGAAUUCCUGUACCUAUGGAUUAGCUGUACUCUUCUCAUUGCAAUGAUAGGAGAUACUAUUUCUUCAGUGUAUUGCUGCCAUCAGAACGACCUUCCCCAUCAUAUAUGAGUAUGUUGGUAUUUAAUGGUUAUGCGGACAAGUAUAACUUAUUAAUUUUCCUCCUUAUAAAAACUUGAUAUACAAAUCUUCCAAGCCACCUAGAUAACAUCUGUUAAAACUACCAUCAGCUCUUUAUGCAUGAAAGUAAAAAUCUCGGUUGGAAUCAUAUGUUGAAGUUGUACUGCCAUGCCUUGCAACAGAAACUGCAUUUACAACCAGAACAAGCAAGGAAUCAGAUGUCUACAGCUAUGGAGUAGUCUUGCUUGAAUUGAUAACCAGAAGGAAGGCCCUGGAUCCAUCAUUUCCUGAAAACACAGACAUAGUAAGGUGGGUAAGUUCAAUGUUGAAUGGCAGUGAUAAAAUUGAAGUGGUUGCUGAUCCAGAUCUCAUGCAUGAAGUUGUUGGCUCCGUGGAAAUGGAAGAAGUAUGCAAAGUACUUUCAUUGGCUAUGAGAUGCACAGCUAAGGAGGCAAGUGAGAGACCCUCGAUGUGGGAUGUCGUUAAAGAGCUAACGGAUAUUAUCAAGUCCAAAGCUUGUAAUUUGCCUAAACAGGGAAAGUAUGGAUCUGUGGUACCAUAGGUAUUUGCUGGGACUUUUGGGUACUCUCAUCGCUUCAUCCACCAGAUUAUUAAACUGUUGUUAGUGAGCGUAGUAAAAUGAGAUAGUUUGGUGUACAAACGCUGAUAAUAUGCAUGGAUCAGAGAAAGGUUCUGUAUCAUCAUAUUUUGUAUUCGACUCUGGAAUAUGUAGAAACAAAUUCUAAAAUUGCCUUAUUUCUUGGAUGUGAUCAUAUGUGGUGCGGUACCGGUGUUUCUUGUAAAUUCUCUGUAUAUUAUUAAUUUUUUUGUGCAUAUAUUAUUCUUCUAGCCAGUGCUGGACUCUGAGCCCAGUAAUUAUCUGGUUAUGAACCAAUAGGAAUGAUUAUAGCAGGUGUAAUCGGCUUAAUCUAGGUUCAAACGUCUAUUUGUUUAGCAAGGUUUUCCAUCUGGUCGGGGCCCCAGAUGGAACAGUAUAAUGCUGGCAAGUUGCUACAAUAUUCUUUCAAAUAAAACUUCCCUAAGAUAUCGCUACCAGAAACACCUCUUACAAGAAAGAAAAAAAAGAAGGGGAAAAGAGUUCUCUUCAGAUGUGUAUAUAUAAAUAGGGCUUCCAAUGAGCCAUGUGAUAAGAAGAAAUUGGUGCAAACUCGUUGUAUUUGUUGCAAUACAUGGAUGGGCAACUGAUGAUGAAAUUACCAAAUAAGCAUUUUUCAUACAUAAUGGUUAGCCGUUAUACCUCCUAUCACCUCCACAGAUAUGGCCUACAGGCUUGCAUCCAUGCGGUGACCAUGUCCGUGCUAUAAAAAGAUGGAGCAUAAUUAGGACCACCACUAUAUUCAUUCUUUUAAUUUCUUCGUUUAGUUUGCAAGUCGCCUUUCUAUGUUAAAUAUUUUGUUUAAGUGUAAUGAGUGUGUAACAGCAGUUUAAUGUCUGUUCAUAAAAAAGAUAAUGUUCGGAAAAACAAGUAUUGAGCUUUAUGACAUCUCCAGAAGAAAUUAGUGCAUCUAAAACACCGAUAGAAACGGUGGGGAAUACCGUAUAGGCCAUCAAUUCUUUCACAUGGAGCUUCAAGCAUGACUUUCAAAGAUGACUUACCAGCAAUGCAAACAAUGUCAAAUUGGAAUGUUAUUUAUGAGAUUAUAACCUGUAAAAGGAAUGGAUAACAAGAUAGCUAUCACAGGGAUCAAUUUACCUUCAUGAAUAGAUUCCAGAUAAAUGGCAACAAUAACAAAAUAUUAAUAAGAACUUGACCUGGAUAUAUAAAAUAAACUUAGUAUAGGCGUAGCCAUCAAAACCAUUAUCAUAUUGUUCCUGGAGAACCGUUGAACAGCCCAGACUGUCAGAUAAUCAAGUUACCCUACUUUCACAUGCAUGAUAACCUCGUGAGACAGAUUGACACAUUCAUUGAUAUGAAGAUACUUUGACAUGUGAUACCAGCCCUAACACUCUUUCAUUCCACGAUGCUAAACUUAACCUUGUGAGGUUUCCAGCCACAAUCCUUCUUCCUACUCAAGCAUAUCAAUUUCAGUACCAACAGUUGUAACGCUUCACGCCAUGAUGCUAAGCCUGCCAAGUUUCCCUCCACAAUCCUUCCCCCUUCCUACUUGAGCAUAUCAAUUUCAGUACCAACGGUGAACAAUCAUUUGUUACAAAUGUGAGGCAGUCCUUCACAGAUUUUUGCCAUAGCGGAACCCAUUGUGGUUAGCAGAGACACACAAAUGUGAGAAAAGGAAGAACCACCAUAUCUCAAGAGUUGGCAAUGAUACAAAACAGCAGUUGCUUUAAAAUGAUUUCCAUUCCUUAAAUCUAAGCUUUCAUAUUCAGACCAGACACCUACCAAAUCACAAGAAGCUUAUUGGCACUAUAAAGCUAACGUUAUCACAUUGCAGAUAUCACUUGCAUUUGUGAAACAAACAUGGCAUAAAGAUGAAACAUCUGAAGAUCCUGUUCAACCAUAGGUGAAGUUUAGGAAGAAGAACCAAUCAAUGACAUUAGAAUGCUGUACAUGACUCGAUGAGCCCAUAUACAUGAUGAGAUGAUAGCUGAACUUAUAUCAACUUUAAGCGGUAAGAAUCAGCACUCUCCUAAGGCAAUUGUUCCUGGUAGUGACUUAAGACAGGAUUACAGCUUGCAGAACUGCACGCUGUUUCAUGGUCGCAUGAAAUGAUCUUCCUCUAGGUAUUACUUUCCACUUAUCAUAAGCGACUGAAAAGGAACCCUCCUAAUCACCACAUAAGUUGAGAAGUCUUUCAGAAUUGGCUGUUUCCAUGGCUCCCCAUCCAUUUGCAGAUAGGCCUGUUUCCACUGGCCACCUCUGAUUUCCAUCUUAAUUGCAGCAGCCUGAAAGACACCAGCAGUUUCUUUACAAAUAUGUCACAAGCUUUAUUACAACCAUCUCGAUUUUGGUAACAAAACUAUUUAAAGUAUGUUAGCAACAAUUGGUCACUAAAAAAGCAUACAUGAAGUUCUUCGGAAAAAGUACUGAUGCUAAUAAUUUUUUAAAAAUAUGUCAUCAUGCUAUUCAUAUAUAGAAGUUUAUUUUAUUCUACUUUAAUAAUAAAUUCUUAAAGAUCUCAUGGCAUGACAAAAAAAUAUGGCGUUGAUUAUCAUUUAAUUAACAAUUUUAAUUAAGCAAUCAUGACUUCUGGUAGCUUCACAAGUGGCAAAUUUGCAUCAAGAGUAAUCAAAAUAAAAAUACUUCUGCACCCUAAACAGUCUUGGAAUCUUUUUUCUAUUUCUGAAUUUCUUCAAGUUCUAUAUGCACAAUGAAUUCUUAGAAGUUAUCACUGCACAACAAAAACGGAGUGUUGAUUAAUAUUGAAUUGGAAACUUGUCUUUCAAUUUAUACAAAAGUUUAUCUCAUAAAAUUCAUCCCCUAGCAUUAACUUUCAUGAACUUUUGUCAUGAUAAUAAUUUUCCAAGGUUUUCCCUUACUCUUCAAAAAUAAUUUCAAGGGGUCGACCCUCCAAACCAACUGGAUGGAUUUCUCAGAAACAAUAGUUACAGAUUUCUCAAAAGGAAUAGUUUUAAGUGGUUUGAAGGCAUUUCACUUUAAAUGAGCUAUUGCAAUUGCACUUUCAUUUGAGUAACAGUAAUUACAGACUAUCAAUUUUUGAAUAAAAUCACUAGUUACUUGUUAGUGCAUUACCCAAACAAGUAAAUAACAGGGAACACUAUUGGUAGUGGUACACAACAGAUGAAGCUAAUACAUUCUAAUUUUCUUGGACAGUUGGACAAGAUGCGUCAGUUUUCACUUUAUGUUCUUACUUAAAUGCUGCAGGGUGAAACUGUCAAAAUAAUGCUGGUACCUGAGCAAUGUGCUUGGCAGAAAUGAGUUCAGUCAUAACAAACGAAGCAUGCCAACCUUGCUUUAUUCCAAAUAUUUCAAGUAGACCAUCAUCUGCAUGAGCCUCAACAAAGCCUCUCUGGAAAAAAUAGAAAAAAAAAGGCCAGUACAAGAUUUUAGUUAUGCAUACAAGUAAAUGUCAUGAACAAUGGGUGUAGGAUAAAGGAAUAGAAACCUGGACUUGCAUUCCAGUAAAUACAUCUCUUUCUCUCUCUCUGUGUUAGUAGAGAUGGACCAACAAGGAGAGCAUUCUUAGAGAUGCUUCUAAAAUAAUAGGUACUCCUUUUGCAAUUACAUAACCUUACAUGUUUUUGAGGUAAACAAACUAAAAAAACUGCGCUUAUGGAAAAGAAGAGUUCAUCUAUUUAUAUAUUUUUUUCAGUUAAGACGAUACAGGCAUCAUGAUUUCAAACCUAGCAACCAAGUGCUUUGGGUUAUGUACAUAAUAAUUUGGGACUAGGAUAUGAAGCUAAGAACAAAGCGACCCAAAAUGACCAAUUCAACCAAAUCUAGUCCAAAAAGGGGGCUCUAUCCAGAAAAGUUAACAAGUACGACUCUCUCUACAAAAUGCUCCAUGCUAUCUAAUUCUUUUGAAGCUAGGUACAGUUCAUGUGUCACUCAAAUUUAUAAGCAUACAGGGCUUAGAUAGUCAGAACCAACUGGCAAACAUUACUCUGUAUUUUAGAUUCACAACAACUAAUAAAAUAUAGAUUAGCUCUUAGGCCUCUGGCACAAAUAGCUAAUAAGGAAUAUCCAUUUAGCUGAUGCAAUAUAUGAUAUUAUUCUUAAUUAGGUGUUGCGGAAAUAGCUAAUAAAGAUUAUUCAUUUGACCUCUGCAUUAUAAUGUAAUUAUCAUUAAUUAGGUAGUGAAACAAUGAAAAUCUGGGUUUCGCAUAUAAUUGAAUUAACAUCCUCGAAGUCAAAAUGGACAGAUAUCAUCCAUCACAGAGUCACACAGUACAUUACUCAACAAUAUAUGAAAUCUUGUAACCAAGAACUCUUUCUAUUAAGAAAUCCAACUGCGAACCUUCUCGAGAUAGUCAGGGUCAGGUCGGCCCCAUGGAUGUCUUCCACUUGCAUAGUUUUGAAGAUUUAAAGCCACAAUUGCCCUGACACUGCAGCCAAAAACCUUAUUGAAGUUACAUUGGGGAGGUGGGGUGCAUCAAACUAAUAAGGAAGCCUUCCCAUAAUUGUUCAACAAUUAUCAUACUAAUGAAAAUUUAUAAAUAAAGUUUUAUUUAGAAAACAAAUAAAAGCAUGUAUUCCUGAAUUGAUCUACAUUAAUUUACUUAUAGUGUCGUUAUACGAUCUUAGACCAUUCAGGCAGUAAGAUGAAGAGAAGUUAUAACUUGCCUUGAGGGAACCAGAAUCUGCUCCCAAUCUGCACAAUUGGCCCUUUUAAUGUAAAGUCGUAAAAUGUUCUUGAGACCCCUGUUAAAUAUUACAUUCAGAAUAACACAAAUUUAUUAAGCAGCACUAUCUUCCAGAUUGCUUUAUUGAGAAGUUGCACAAUUAAUAUGCACGAGAACACAAGCAACCGCAUAUUAAGAAAAAAGAAAACUUCAACCCUCCAUCCUUUAUUACAAAGAUUGAAGGCCACAAAACUCAAAGCAAAGAUAAGGAACAAUGCAUUUUUAAAGAAUACGAGAUUUCCAGAAGUGAUUCAGCAAAUUUUGAGAGAAGAAAGCAGAAGCACAACUAUAGCCAUAACUCCCUUUUAAAGAAUACGAAGAUUUCCAGAAUCCAUAAUUCUUCUUUCAUCUCUAAGCUAAACGGAGCUGGCCAUCCAAAGUAAAUGCUCAGAUUCUGAACACACCCCAAAUUGGUUUUCUUGAAGGUUCAUUGAUCCCCUCCAAUUUGCACAUCACAUAAUAUGCAAUAUAAUGCUCCUAAUUUUCCAAUCUUCAUAUUAAAAAUAUAAGAAACCAUAUGCUGUUAAUCAUACCAUCAUUCUUUGAGACAGCAGAAUGUGGAUACUCUGUAGGACCCAGCAGCAUAGCACCCAAUAUACAAUAGAAGGAAAAGCACCCAAAACAAGAAAAGGCUCAUAAUAUAGUGCUUGUAUUUUUUUUUGGUGAUGCAUAUAGUGCUUGUAUUAGGUUGAGAUCUUCCAACAACGAAAUCCAUGAGGACAAGUAUGUACUCCACCAUAUACAAUAAGUCGAAUCAUUGUAAAAGAUCCAGAGUAGGAGUUAGUUCGACACACACAUCAAUACUUUCAUCACACCCUUCCUGAAAUUUGCUUUUAAGGACAUCUUAUUGUGAUAACUAAUUACUUGACCCUGGAAGCUUGAGCUGUCGUGCAAUGGAUCAAAAAAUUUUAUGAGGCUUAACACCUCCCUCAUGUCCAGUUUAAACCACGAAUGUGGAGAGAGAAUGAGACAAGACAUGAGACAAGUCCAGAUAACAGGCAAGUUAAUUAAAUAAACAAUCCAACUUGGAGGUGAUUCCAACCCACCGCUUUCAAUACUAAGAGGCUUUUAGUUGACUGCAUUAGAUUGUACUAUAACUUUUACACAAUUUAAAACUCAUUAGUUUUCAAAAGCUACUCUCUAAAGGACUGGAAUAUGCAAUGUUAGCUUAUACAUUGUGCAAGUUGUCAGACAAAUCUAACUGGCUCAAGAUAUCUUUUGGUGUUGCUUAAGAAAGAUAGCAAUAAGCAGACAUAAUGGAGAUUUCAAAAAUGCAACUUUUAACACAAAAUAACUUCCAAUCAGAGAAUGCAGAAAAAAAAUUUAUAAGAAUGCAACAUCCUUGAGCAAAGCAUUCAAAUGACAUACCUAAGUAGGACUACAACAUCUAAAUCAUACCGUGUUACUAUAAUUAUAAUUAAACAGAUUAACUGAUCUUAAAUUUCUUCUAGCAUGCCUAACAAAUGAUGAAAUUCUACAUGAAUGUCAAUAAAAUUUCUUGUCUAGGAUGAGAUAAUGUACUCAUCGUGUAUAAAUUAAGAAACCUCCUGUUUAGAAACUUGGUGUAGUUUAAGGAAGGCAAGACUAAAUAGCAUGACUAAGACCCACAUUGAAAAAAUACUGGACUAAUCACAUUCCAUAAGGAAAGAGUCAUCUCCUCUCUUUUGAAGGUCAUGAGAUGCUUGUCAAAAAGCAAACAGAGAAGAAUCUAUCUUUUGGAGGUUACAUGAAUAUGCUAUCAAGUUUGGCAAUGCAAAUGAUAUGGUUGUAUUGGUGCAUUACCAUUAAGUUGGUCCACAGGGCUUGAAGAAGUGGAAUGCUUUCUUCCAUCAAAAAACUGAAUAAUGAGAAAUUUAGGAGAUGGACCUCACUUUUCCACAUUUUUUGGGUGAAAUUAGAAGUAAGGAUUAAACAUGGAUGAACAUAAAGGUGGGGUUCAUAGGGACAUUGCUCAUUUUUCUUUUCUAGGUGUAUUGUCAACUUGUAGUUGGAUCAUGGCUAAUAACUAUUUUUAAUAACUAUUAGUGCAUCUAGGAAUGCAAGGUACGAGAACCUUUAGUUCCAUUAUGCCCAAUAACUAUGCUGAGAACCAUAGCAAGGUGGCAGCAAACUGGAUGAUAGAUGUCUUCUGUACGAGAAAAGAAAAGAUUUAAAUGAAAUAAUGAUAUGAAACUUAUGUUGUCACUUUUUCCAUCAAUCAACUUUGUGCAUCACCUACAUAGUGGUUGUAAGCAACAAAAAGGUUUACAUGAUAACUAACAUGUAAAACAUAUGGAAGAACAUCCCAGCUGUGAAGUAUAUGGAAGAAUAGUAAGGGAAAUACAGAGUAAAUGAUUGCUCCUUAUCUCAUCAUGAUGAUCUUUGAAACUUCAUAUUCCAACAAACAAUUCAUGCUUUGCAAAGGAGUGGCAUGUAAAAAUUAUGUCUGGUCAAGGGAAUAGUUGAUUGCAUGGACAUCUCCAUUGCUAUUUGUGGAGUUCAUUUUUAGUUUCAUGUUCCAUUUACUUAUAUAUUGUUAUUUACUUAUAUCCUAAGGUGCCCCUUUCUUGUUAAGGGUCUGAAACCAUAUCUUUUGUACUCUUCUUACUGUACUUCUCUAUAUAACUUCUCCCUGUUUACAAUACCUAGAAUGCUUUGCAAUUCAUUCAAUAAUACAAAUAUAGUAAUGUAGUUUAUAUGAUGACACAACAAAUGAAAGACUUCUCAUAAUUUUAUUUCCCUUAAGAGAUAUGGUGUGUGCAUGCAGACACACGCAUGCACGAGCGCUCACUGCACAUGCGCGUGUGCAUGGACACACACACACACACAGAGAGAGAGAGAGAGCAUGAUUGGAUGUAAGUGAUGAUAAGUUUAUAUGAAAAAAAAGUGAGUGAUUAAUAUCUAACCUUAAGCCUGGAUCAUUCACACAUGGUGUACAGAACCACCCCUGGGUACAGCUAUAGCUGGAGUAAAUCAACUGAAAUAAGAAGAAACUCAAAUGAUAUCUUGCAUUUUGACAAAAAUUGAUAAUCAAAGUCUCAAACUUCAUAUAACCUGAUUAGUAUAAUCUAAACACAGAAAAGAAGAAAAUCGAACAACAAAUAUAAGUAUGGAAUUAUUUUAUAUGGCUGACAAAGUAAAUUAGUUAAGGAGUAACCAGAGUUGGGUGUGAAGAUAUUCUAGAUAGUUUGAGCAUGAAUGGCAUAAAAUCCAGAAGCAUACCAAUCAGAUGAAAGGAUACUUUGACCUCCCUUGGUAGGUGGGAGGAGGUAUUUGAAUUAACAUCCUUAACCUUGGAACUACAUUUGCAAAACUUUUAGCAACAACAAAAGGUACUAACCAGGAAAAUGUUUUCUAUAUUCUUCAAUAUCCAACAAAGAAACAUGCAAAAGAUAAGAGGCAGACCUAUUCUAUGAAUACUAAUAUAUGAGAGGUGUGAGAACUAGCAGAUGGAAAUAAUAUUCACAUAGAUGGGUCCAAGCAGAAUUAGGUGCAGAGAAGAUGAGCCAAAUUCGUGAAUGUGCCUGUCACUGUAAGAUAUAGCUCAAGGUAAAUCUACAAGUAGAAAAAGCUUGGUCACCAACAUGGUGAGAUAUGCCCCAAAAGAUAGAGCAUUCUAAACUACAAAAUAUAUGUAUAUACCUAUGCAUUAUUGAACAUAGUUAUCUCUAAGCUAUUGCUCAAGGUAAAUAUACAUGUACAAAAAUAAUGGUCACCACUCACCAGCAUGGUGAGAAUAUUAUAAAAAAUAUAUCAAAUAAUAUCUGGAACUACAUAAUACAUAUAUAUGCUUCAACAUGCAGGUUUCAGGUAAGGCCAAAAGGCCAAGAUGAGUAGAAUGCACUCAAACCAUCAGUAAGAAUAACAUUCCCUGACAAGCAGGACUCUCUUAAAAAUAUAAAAUUGGGAAGGAAAAUCAUCUUUGAAAGCAUACUUAGCAAAUUUGCAUUUCACAGUUAUCAAUAGUGGAUAUAUGUGCAGGUCUUGGUAGAAGUUGGCAACCUAUAACAAUAAAUAAGAAAGUAAGAAACAUGCAGCAAGAGACGAUAUUCAUUUUUAUGUUAAAAAACAUGACCAAGUCUCAAGUUUUACUCAAGAUGGUAUAUGAAUACUUCUUGCCAAACCCCCACAAUUUGUUCACCUACUUGAGGAUAAAAAAACAGUCCUCUAGGCCCAAACAUGAGCAUGAUAUGGUCAUUGAGUCAUGAGUUUGUACUCUGAAAUCAACACAAAACAUUAGGGUCCGACUACACAUUAUUCACUUAAGUAGUUUCUCCGGUUCCACAGAAAAAUUGGGUUUAGCAUAUGGAUAUAUUUGAGAGACUGCCUGCAAAGAAGAGUCUUUAGAGGGAACAAGUAAUCACAGCUGGUCCAUACUUUCCCUCCGCAAGAACUUAAAAUGCAGUGCACCUAUCCUAUUGCUGCCCCUAGUUAUGGCACCAAAGUAGGAAGAAACUAAUAAGCCUUCUCUCAGAUCACAUAUUCAUAUUCCACAAAAAAUGCAAGACUAGUGGGCAGGCUAGAACUGCAGUUGCAAUUGCAAAUGCUAAUCACUUCAGGUAACUUAGAAGAUAAUGUAGCACCAGAAUAAUUGCUAAGACAUUUUCUCAACCUUUUCCAAAAUCAAUUACCUAACCUACAAACUCCAAUCUGAAGAUGGGUCAUUUCCGGAACAUUCUAGAAUAUUAUUAAAGUUAAAACUUUAUAAUACCUAACAAACAAAAUAAUGAUAGAAACAUUUAACUGAGAAAACCCAUUAAGUAAUACGUCAAUGUCAUUAGUGAUGAUUUCUCUAUGCAACAUGCUUCACAAAUAAGCUAAAGACAUUUUGACAUUUUGAAUGUUCUCAUGCCCAAAGCCUCUUUCACAUCAGCUUAAGUUUUCAGAUGGCAUGUAUGGCUGGAAACAAAACUGCAAGUUCUAAAAUGUGAUCAAGUCAAGGCAUGUCAAACUUGGAAAUCUACUACUUCUUUGACAAACAAUGCAUAUUGUUGAACACAAGGCUUUAAAAAUUAGAACCAGAGGGCAUACUGGUUUUUUUAAAAAACCGGUCUGGUAUCGGGUACAGACACACGGUACAUGACCUAUAUUGAUACAUUGCAUACCGGUGCUGGUUUUCUGCCAAAGCGGUACGGCACUGCUCAUAGCACCCUGUUCCAGUGGUUUUUAAAACCUUGCCUGGAGCUUUCCAGGCAAAUAUGAGCAUAUGAACACAAGAUGGGAUGUUGAAUGGCAUGCCAUCCUAUCAGCAUUUAAGGAAAAUGAUGGGUCAGACAUAUGCAACUUCAACAGCACAUGAGGUUUAACAGUACACCAAGGACAGGAUACAAAGAUAUUUAUGCUUACAAGAAGAUCGACACUCAACUAUGAAACCACCUUCUCCAUAAGCCACUUGAUGUAAGCAUUCAUGAAUUAUAUUAGAUUCCAGUAGUUUACUACAUCAAGCUCAUUAACCUACACUAAGUGUUCUGUGAAUUUGUGGAGAUUCUAUUGGAAAUCGUCUGAGCAAUAAAAAGUACAAGUAUAUAGAAAAUAAGGAAAAAAGGUAACCUAAACACUUAGUAUCAAUAGUUUCAGAAGAAAGCAGCAUCCACAUACAAUGCAUGACGGUAUGGCUUAUAUCAACUCUAUUGAUGCAUAUGUGCAAGAAAAUAAGUGAAUAUGAGCAUCAUCUUGGCACAAAGGUUUGGUGGGAGAUCAAGGUUAUUUGCUUAUAGGGCGCCAAGGAGAUCUUAUCCCAAAUAUGAAAUAAUUUCAUGGAAUCAACUUCACGUUUCCAUCAAGUCAUUCUCUGUGGUAAUUCAUAAAGUUUCAGGAGUUUAAUACCUGUUCAGUUGUUUACAAGUUUUGGUGCAAUAACUACUGUAAGGAUGUGUUAGUCGUCAAAAUAGUAUUUUAGCUUCUUUUUUUUUUUACUUGCUUAAAAUUAGAUUAUAACAGUAACUUACAAAUCACAAGUUUAUGUUAGAUCAUUAUAAAGAAAAGCUAAUACACACCCCAAUCCAUCGAGUUCAGGUUAGAUCAUUAUGUUAGAUUUCCCAUGACAACACAUAUUGGGACAUAUAUUCCCAAUUUCUAUCUUUGACAUGUAUAGUAUCAGAUUCCUUUGUAGCAAAUCCCCCACACACAAUCACCCAAAAAAAUUGAAUAGGGAAGAACAAUCAAGGAUUAAGUAUACGUAGGCUUCACAUGCACAUGGAUACACAUUCAUGUAACAUGUACCUGCAAGCAUGAAUGCAAAAUCCACCCACCAUAGCUGGCAAGAUAUAAUUGCAUUUUUUAACUUAAGCUACCAUUUGCUCUCAAACAUCUAUCUAAAUAAUCUUAACCCAUUCUUUGGAUUCCAAAAAUCUCAUCCAUAAUUGGGCUAUAUACUUUUAAUGAAGUAUCCCGCGUGAAUUAUGAUGCCAACAUCUCAUCCAUGUCCUAUGUAAAAUUCAAAAAUUUUGCAGCAAUUCAACCGAUUGUUUAGUACUUUGUUCCAACAAGUUUACCAAACCAAGUAAAUACUCUGCAGUCUGUGCCCCGUCUCUCCAAUCAACCUGCAUAUAAGCAUAACCUGCAAACAUUCAUCCAAUCAUUCUUCUGACAUAUGACAGAAGUCGUUAUUAAUUUUGGUCAUAUUUCAAUACCACACUGACAACACCAAUGUUUCCAUCUCAUUGCCUGUGAUAACUAGAAUCAAGCACCAUGAGAUGAUCCUAUAAUUCUUUUGGGCCACUGACUUUCCUUCCAUGUGCAGCAUCAUCUGAACCAGCUCAUAUAUUAGGACACAAAUGACCUUUUUUACCAAGCCUGAUUUGUUGGGAUAAUAAAAAAUGCCAUAUGUUCCUCCACAAAGAUAUUUCGCUAGGGAAUAUUAUCUGUAUCAUCUCUGAUAUAAAGAUAUGCUUUAGGUCAGUGUCGGACAAUAAUUAAAAACUGCAAGCAAAAGACCAUUUAUUAUAACUACAUCAAGGAAAUAAAAAAGUUUACUUUCCAUUUUUUUUAAUUUUUGUUUUUGUUUGUGGGUGAAGAGGGGGUAAUAACAUGCCAAAAGAAAAGGUUGUUCUAAAUUAUUAUUGAGCAAUUUUGUAAAUGGAUAAUAAGCUGAUGUGUCUGUUGAAAUAAGGGAAUUGACAAUAUAACAAACAAGAUGCAGAAGUUAGAUACUUAAAGUAAGGACAACAUGAUUAAGCUAAAUUGAUGCCUAGUAGGGAUGUGCAUCACAAUUAAUUAACAAAAAUCAGAACAGAC
rnacentral:lncRNA from 1 species